rnacentral:rRNA from 1 species
CAACUGCAAGUGGUGGAUCACUCGGCUC